GGCUUGAUAGCUCAGUUGGUAGAGCACUGCACCAGUAUUGCAGAGGUCAUGGGUUUGAAUUCCAUUCGGGCCU
rnacentral:tRNA from 1 species